UACAGAGGUCUCAAGCGUUGUUCGGAUUCAUUGGGCGUAAAGGGUGUGUAGGCGGCGCGGUAAGUCGGGUGUGAAAUCUCGGAGCUUAACUCCGAAACUGCAUUCGAUACUGGCGUGCUUGAGGACUGGAGAGGAGACUGGAAUUCAUGGUGUAGCAGUGAAAUGCGUAGAGAUCAUGAGGAAGACCAGUGGCGAAGGCGGGUCUCUGGACAGUUCCUGACGCUGAGACACGAAGGCCAGGGGAGCAAACGGG
rnacentral:rRNA from 1 species